AAACCACUCCUGAGACAACCCCAGACACUCAAAGACCCUGGUGCCACUAAGAGGAGCAAGUAAGUGGUGGGAAAAUGGAAGAGGAAAGAAAAACAUAAGGAUGUGGACACAAUGAAGAGAGACAGAACUGGAGAUUGGAGAGUAGUGAGGAAUGGCCUGAUGAGGGCUUCUUGUUGACAGUCCUGAUCUCUAUCCCAGAGACACAGUGAAGAGGAGUAGAGGCCAGCUAUGAGCACGUGGAGAGAGAAGAGGAGGGGGUUUCGGAGAGGGAAGAAGGGGAUUCACCUACAUCAGUCAAAGUCCUCCCUUGAGGAUCACCAUGUGGAAGCUCUGGGGAUUUCACAACCAGCGCAGUGAACUCCAGAUGAACUCGGAUGAUCCUUUUUUUUCCUAAUCCAGCAGACAGGCUGUUGUUACCACUCUGACGAACGCUCCCAAUAAAAGCAGAAAUAGUCUCGGACCACAGCCUUCAAGAUACAUUGGAGGAAAAUCUUCAGACUACAUGAUUCACAACCAAUACGGAUCCUUUCAG
rnacentral:lncRNA from 1 species